rnacentral:rRNA from 1 species
GGAAUUUUGGACAAUGGGCGCAAGCCUGAUCCAGCAAUGCCGCGUGAGUGAAGAAGGCCUUCGGGUUGUAAAGCUCUUUUGUCAGGGAAGAAACGGGUUUUUCUAAUACAGAGACCUAAUGACGGUACCUGAAGAAUAAGCACCGGCUAACUACGUGCCAGCAGCCGCGGUAAUACGUAGGGUGCAAGCGUUAAUCGGAAUUACUGGGCGUAAAGCGUGCGCAGGCGGUUUUGUAAGACUGUCGUGAAAUCCCCGGGCUCAACCUGGGAAUGGCGAUGGUGACUGCAAGGCUAGAGUUUGGCAGAGGGGGGUAGAAUUCCACGUGUAGCAGUGAAAUGCGUAGAUAUGUGGAGGAACACCGAUGGCGAAGGCAGCCCCCUGGGUCAAAACUGACGCUCAUGCACGAAAGCGUGGGGAGCAAACAGGAUUAGAUACCCUUG